rfam:Sphaerochaeta globosa str. Buddy, complete genome.
GCGAGAGUGGUGAAAUUGGCAGACACGCCAGACUUAGGAUCUGGUACCUUACGGUGUAGGGGUUCAAGUCCCCUCUCUCGCA